GGGCGUGAUACACGAUAUAUAAUGCAAUAUGCAGUUCCGGUAAUAAAUAACAAUAAUUAUAAUUGGUACCGCAAUGAAUUUUUUUCUCAAUUCAUAGAAAAGUUUAAAAAAUUAAACUAAUAAAUUAGUGAGGUCGGACUUGAACAGAUCGUUGAAAUUGUGGUCCAAACUUACCAAAUAUAUCAAACUUGCGUUCCAGGAAGUUGACAGAAACUUUAUGAACAUACUCGUGUCUUUUGAAAUGCGAGUGUUUAGAGUAGUUUUAAUGCGUAGGUACGCAUAAUUAUGUAGCGUGUUCUGUAUACCUACUUGUGUUUAUGUCUCAGGUUUUAGAGCGUUAAAGAUAUCGUGUAUAUGUUAAAAAGAAAACAAUUUCAAAUCCAAUUUCAAGAAAAACAGUAUUAAAGAAACCCCAAAUUUUAAAUCAAAAUAUUUAUUUAUUUUUUUGUAUCUACAUUGUCGUAUUCUUGUUGUUUUUUGUAGUGAAUGAAGAUCACAAACGAUAAUACUUCAACGUUGUUUCCAUAAACAUCCGUCACUAUGUUAAGUGUUGCUAACGUUUCAGACCUAGAUCGAUACUUCAAAGCUUGCUUCUUCUUAAUAUGCACUCAUGUUUUAUCCUUAUCUAUUUAUUUCGAUAAUUCAAUUUUGUGCAGCAGCAAUACAGCCAACUAUAAUAAAAUAUUGAAUUUAGUCAUUUUCAUUUUUUUAAAUGAGGAUAUGCAUUGAAGUAUGACCAUUGGUCAUUACCCAGUGCUCAGUACUAGGUUCGUAGCUAGAAAUUUCAUCAGGAGAAAGAGUGAGCAACGGAUAAUCAAGAUAAUAUGUUUAAUAUGUAGAGCAUUUGUGUGCAUUUCUUUCCGAAAUUAAAAUUUAAUAUAUUUGUUAGCUAUAUGAACAGGGAUGAGCAGUUAUCAAUAACCUAUAUUUUAUUAUUUUAAUCGUUGAUAACAUAUGUUACACGUUUAUAUUUUCUGAAAUAAUACUAGGUACUCUUAUAUAUAAUUGACAAUAGUUGUGUACAUAUAACCUAUACAUCUACCUAAAUAUAUAUGUCUUUAUUGGUAUUUCUUUUUACCAAAAUAUAAUUUUUUCAAUCAUUGUGCAUUGGUAUGUCGUCUAUUUUAUAAUAAUCAUUCCCCGCGCAGUUUGUCUAUAUUUGGUGUUUAAAGGUCUCAAACCGCUGCCAGAAUACCUGAAACCGAUAAAGGUGUUCGAUUUUCUCGACGAGCUGGAUGGUGUAGACGCGGCGAUUGUCUUUGACCACAACAGAAAAACCUACACAUUCAGCGGCACCAAGUACUAGAGGUGUAAAGAUGAAAUGGACCGGAUUGUAGAGUUGGACUACCCAUGGGACAUAUCCAUAAUAGUGGAGUGUAGAAUAUAACGUAGACGCGGCGUUCCAGAGACAUGACGGGUUAGUGAAAUGCAAGCUCUAUAACCGUUUGUUUAAAGUUGAAAGUCUAAAUUUUGAAUUUAAUAGUACAAAAUUGUGUGUCAAAGGUAAGAAAUCAGUUAUAAAAUCAUCUUCCAGCACGAGGCAUACAUAAUUCAUUAUUUAUUUAUUUUUUUUUUUUGUCACUUCUUUAUCGAUAUUAUAGCGACCCGUAAUGAACUGUUUAAGCCGUUAUUGUCUCUUGGUAUAUAUUUAGAUUCACCAAUAGAAAAGUACGGGCGAGUAAUCCUGCCAUUAGAAACUUGCCCGACCACCAGGAUUUUCACUUUUUCGCUCACUGUCUAGUGGAUUUCUGCUCAUUAUUGAAAAUUAAAGAUUUGAUACACGCGGGUCAAAAAAAUUAUCAUUGCGUGUUUAUAUAUCUCUGAAACCAGUUAUUUAUUACUUUCAACUCUCAGGUAUAUCUUUAGGCUUUAGUUGUGGAUUAAUUUUCACACAGGACUCGUGUAAAUGGUGAUAUUAUAACUUGAGCUAGAACUAGAAAAAAUUAUUUAUUAUUGUUUUUCAACUAAAAAUGCAUAAUUAAUAAUAAAAAAUUAAUAUUUAUUGCUAUAGGUGCAACGCACUUCUUCAAGAACCGUGUUUUUUGAGAAUUCGACGAUCUCAAGAUGCUCGUCGAGCUUAGGUUGAUCGAGAGCUCUGAUUUAACGGCACUGUAACAGGCAGCGAUAGAAGGAACGGUGAUCGAAGGUUCGUCACCAAAACAAAUUGCUUGGCAUCCAGCCAGAAGGAUAUCCAUGAUGCCGAAUUUGGACCGCCGACGAUUGUGACGGGUCGUCUGGCGGCGGCGACGUUAGUUCUUUAAGGUCCGUCACUGCUGACUGUACGCCGUUUUUUUCGAGAUUUCGAGAUAGGUAACGAAAAUCGCGAUUUUAUUAUGUCAUUUAACCAAAUAUUAAUAAUAAUAAUAAUCUUAAUUGCGGAUAUGACUCAAUUU